rnacentral:rRNA from 1 species
UACGUAGGGUGCGAGCGUUGUCCGGAAUUACUGGGCGUAAAGAGCUCGUAGGCGGUUUGUCGCGUCUGCCGUGAAAGUCCGGGGCUCAACUCCGGAUCUGCGGUGGGUACGGGCAGACUAGAGUGAUGUAGGGGAGACUGGAAUUCCUGGUGUAGCGGUGAAAUGCGCAGAUAUCAGGAGGAACACCGGUGGCGAAGGCGGGAUCCUGGGCCAGUACUGACGCUGAGGAGCGAAAGCGUGGGGAGCAAACAGG